GUUAAAGGCACUUGGAAGAAGGCCUUGCAGGAGGUGGUGUGUAAUAAAAGCAGUUCUGUUAAAGGACUCUCUGCUGGUCAGAGCAAUGUAAUCGAUAUCUCAUCCAGCUGUCUUGUUUGGUAGAAAUAUUACAGAUGGUGUUUCCUGCUGGAUGCCUGAAAGAAGUCUUCCUCAUAAGACCCUCUGCCAUGUCUAACUCUUAUUCACGGGGGGGUGUCCUACAAACCUAGCUUUCUGUAAUGGCAGGGGUGGCUGCCAUGGCUACUGCAUAGCAAUGAAUAAAGCUAACUCCUGCACCCCCCCGCCCCACCCCCGUCCUAUAUGUGGAAGUCCCCUGUGCCUGAGGGCUGACGUUGGUGAGUGCCUGAACAGGGUAACAACCAACAUGUCUUUCCCAUCAUCGAUCACACAGUCCUGCAUCCAGGGGGGUAUUCCUCAAAUCCUAUUCAGGAUGCUGCCAUUUGGACCGCAGUGCUACGUGAUGCCAUGUUUCACAUGUCUCGUCAUGUAGUGUUAGCUGGUAAAUGCUAUGGUACACCGAUAUCAUGGCUUUCACACGAUUAAGGACUGCUGGGAAUUCUGCCUUUCACUUGCAGAAUAAUGCUGAAACUCACCAGAAGGCCCUUGUUAGCCUCCCCUGGCAUACUUAAUGUGAAACUAAAUGACAUCCAGCAGAUGUUUAAUCCUUGUCCAAGAGCACAAAUCUCACCUAAAGAAUUUCCAAUGUUUAUUUUCAUGUCUGUAAAUCAUAACUUAUUCCCAUGCACCUGUCUACAUGUUGAUUGUCCAUCCCUACAUUUGGCUGUUAUAUGAAGGCCCGUGGGCCUCAGCACAGAACAGAAACAUUUCACCGAU